CACGUAGGGGGCGAGCGUUGUCCGGAUUUAUUGGGCGUAAAGAGCUCGUAGGCGGCUCGGUAAGUCGGGUGUGAAAACUCUAGGCUCAACCUAGAGACGCCACCUGAUACUGCUGUGGCUAGAGUCCGGUAGGGGAGCAUGGAAUUCCUGGUGUAGCGGUGAAAUGCGCAGAUAUCAGGAGGAACACCAGUGGCGAAGGCGGUGCUCUGGGCCGGUACUGACGCUGAGGAGCGAAAGCGUGGGGAGCAAA
rnacentral:rRNA from 1 species